GAUGAACGCUGGCGGCGUGCCUAAUACAUGCAAGUCGAGCGAACGGACGAGAAGCUUGCUUCUCUGAUGUUAGCGGCGGACGGGUGAGUAACACGUGGAUAACCUACCUAUAAGACUGGGAUAACUUCGGGAAACCGGAGCUAAUACCGGAUAAUAUUUUGAACCGCAUGGUUCAAAAGUGAAAGACGGUCUUGCUGUCACUUAUAGAUGGAUCCGCGCUGCAUUAGCUAGUUGGUAAGGUAACGGCUUACCAAGGCAACGAUGCAUAGCCGACCUGAGAGGGUGAUCGGCCACACUGGAACUGAGACACGGUCCAGACUCCUACGGGAGGCAGCAGUAGGGAAUCUUCCGCAAUGGGCGAAAGCCUGACGGAGCAACGCCGCGUGAGUGAUGAAGGUCUUCGGAUCGUAAAACUCUGUUAUUAGGGAAGAACAUAUGUGUAAGUAACUGUGCACAUCUUGACGGUACCUAAUCAGAAAGCCACGGCUAACUACGUGCCAGCAGCCGCGGUAAUACGUAGGUGGCAAGCGUUAUCCGGAAUUAUUGGGCGUAAAGCGCGCGUAGGCGGUUUUUUAAGUCUGAUGUGAAAGCCCACGGCUCAACCGUGGAGGGUCAUUGGAAACUGGAAAACUUGAGUGCAGAAGAGGAAAGUGGAAUUCCAUGUGUAGCGGUGAAAUGCGCAGAGAUAUGGAGGAACACCAGUGGCGAAGGCGACUUUCUGGUCUGUAACUGACGCUGAUGUGCGAAAGCGUGGGGAUCAAACAGGAUUAGAUACCCUGGUAGUCCACGCCGUAAACGAUGAGUGCUAAGUGUUAGGGGGUUUCCGCCCCUUAGUGCUGCAGCUAACGCAUUAAGCACUCCGCCUGGGGAGUACGACCGCAAGGUUGAAACUCAAAGGAAUUGACGGGGACCCGCACAAGCGGUGGAGCAUGUGGUUUAAUUCGAAGCAACGCGAAGAACCUUACCAAAUCUUGACAUCCUUUGACGACUCUAGAGAUAGAGCCUUCCCCUUCGGGGGGGCAAAGUGACAGGUGGUGCAUGGUUGUCGUCAGCUCGUGUCGUGAGAUGUUGGGUUAAGUCCCGCAACGAGCGCAACCCUUAAGCUUAGUUGCCAUCAUUAAGUUGGGCACUCUAAGUUGACUGCCGGUGACAAACCGGAGGAAGGUGGGGAUGACGUCAAAUCAUCAUGCCCCUUAUGAUUUGGGCUACACACGUGCUACAAUGGACAAUACAAAGGGCAGCGAAACCGCGAGGUCAAGCAAAUCCCAUAAAGUUGUUCUCAGUUCGGAUUGUAGUCUGCAACUCGACUACAUGAAGCUGGAAUCGCUAGUAAUCGUAGAUCAGCAUGCUACGGUGAAUACGUUCCCGGGUCU
rnacentral:rRNA from 1 species